GUGCUUGCUUCGGCAGCACAUAUACUAAAACUGAAACGAUACAGAGAAGACUGGCAUGGCCCCUGCACAAGGAUGACAAGCACAUUCGUGAAGUAUUCCACAUUUUU
ensembl:snRNA U6 U6 spliceosomal RNA